GGCUUUUAGCUAUUGAAUGACAUGCUUUUCAUGCCAAGUGGAGAAAAAGUAAGCAUGUACGUCGUAGCUUAGCUAAGAUUUAUUCCUAUUUAAUAAUAAUUAUGAAUAUGUGCGUCGUUUAUUGAAAACACCAAAGGGGGUUCAUUUUCAAUGGUUUUAGACACAACUCUCAACGGUGAAAAUAUGCGAUUCUGACUAACAUUUUUUAUCGGAUUCGUAUUUGCUCAUCUUUUAUCAUUUGGCAUGAAGAAGAUAUCAUUCAACAGCUAAAAGCAUGAUCUUUCCGAAUGUGAAAAAAUCUCGUUCAUACGCAGAGUAAUUCAGAUACAAUAGCGCGCUGAAGUUCGAUUACCUUUUUUUUAUACGCCCUGUAGUUUACUACAUGCAUAUGAAGGAUGCUAUUAAAAAAACAAAGAGUUAAUCCAACUAGUAUAUGAUCUUUGUUAUACCCUAUAAAGAACACCAUAUAUAUUAUAGUAUAUUAAAAUAUUGCUCCUGUACUAGUAAACUGAACUGCCUUUUGAGAUUUCAACCAUGUUUCACUUUAGAUAUAAGAUUGCGAGGGUCGGGUUACUAAAACCUAUAUUUACUUCCGCGAUUGUCAUUCAUUUGGUGCAUUGAUUAUAUACACC